CCUACGGGAGGCAGCAGUGAGGAAUAUUGGUCAAUGGGCGGGAGCCUGAACCAGCCAAGCCGCGUGAAGGAAGAAGGCGCCAGGCGUCGUAAACUUCUUUUGUCGGGGAACAAAGGGCGCCACGCGUGGCGUUAUGAGUGUACCCGAAGCACAAGCAUCGGCUAACUCCGUGCCAGCAGCCGCGGUAAUACGGAGGAUGCGCGCGUUAUCCGGAUUUAUUGGGUUUAAAGGGAGCGUAGAUGGGUUGUUAAGUCAGUUGUGAAAGUUUGCGGCUCAACCGUAAAAUUGCAAGUGAUACUGGCAGGCUUGAGUACAGUAGAGGUAGGCGGAAUUCGUGGUGUAGCGGUGAAAUGCGUAGAUAUCACGAAGAACUCCGAUUGCGAAGGCAGCUUACUAAACUGCCACUGACAUUGAUGCUCGAAAGUGUGGGUAGCAAACAGGAUUAGAUACCCCUGUAGUC
rnacentral:rRNA from 1 species